UGGGGAAUAUUGGACAAUGGGCGAAAGCCUGAUCCAGCCAUGCCGCGUGUGUGAAGAAGGUCUUCGGAUUGUAAAGCACUUUAAGUUGGGAGGAAGGGUUGUAGAUUAAUACUCUGCAAUUUUGACGUUACCGACAGAAUAAGCACCGGCUAACUCUGUGCCAGCAGCCGCGGUAAUACAGAGGGUGCAAGCGUUAAUCGGAAUUACUGGGCGUAAAGCGCGCGUAGGUGGUUAGUUAAGUUGGAUGUGAAAUCCCCGGGCUCAACCUGGGAACUGCAUUCAAAACUGACUGACUAGAGUAUGGUAGAGGGUGGUGGAAUUUCCUGUGUAGCGGUGAAAUGCGUAGAUAUAGGAAGGAACACCAGUGGCGAAGGCGACCACCUGGACUGGUACUGACACUGAGGUGCGAAAGCGUGGGGAGCAAACA
rnacentral:rRNA from 1 species